rnacentral:rRNA from 1 species
CUUUCAGCUAGCGGCAGGCUACCAUGCAGUCGAGCGGAUGAGUGGAGCUUGCUCCAUGAUUCAGCGGCGGACGGGUGAGUAAUGCCUAGGAAUCUGCCUGGUAGUGGGGGAUAACGUUUCAAAAGGAACGCUAAUACCGCAUACGUCCUACGGGAGAAAGUGGGGGAUCUUCUGACCUCACGCUAUCAAAUGAGCCUAGGUCGGAUUAUCUAGUUGGUGGGGUAAUGGCCCACCAAGGCGACGAUCCGUAACUGGUCUGAGAGGAUGAGCAUCUCACUGGAACUGAGACACGGUCCAGACUCCUACGGGAGGCAACAGUGGGGAAAUUGGACAAUG